CACAAUCCGGACAGAGGUCAGCUUCACCUCGGGGAACACCAUCCGCACUGGAGAGCCUGGGGCUAAAAAGACCAAGAGAACAGCCAUUAGAUAGGGCCUGGCAGGCAUCUGGGAACCUCUGUUUGGCCAUAAGCAUCAGAGGGGGAGAAGUUGUGCAUUGCCACAGACAGCAGGCAGGCCGCUGAAUUACCUCUAUCAAGGUCACCAGGGGGAGCUAAUGAUAAUUUGCAAAUCCAGAGGUUGGUCUAGGCACACUCUUGGGACAGGAAACACCACAUCGCGCUCACAUUCAAUCACAGCAAGGUUUGUUUAUCACGUCCCAUUAUCCCACAGCUUUUUUUUUAUUACUAUGAUUGGAUUUCUGUAGGAGUUCAUAAUUGGGCUGUAAAAAUUUGCUUCAGGCUGGAACUGGCUAUAAAAUAUCAGGUUUUAGAGUGAAACAAUCUUUUUGUCAAUUACUGGGAGGAGGGGGGGAAAUAGACUGCAAUUUUUGGGAGCAGAUUCUCAGCUAGAAACUAAUAGGACUGUGCCUCUUUACAUUAGGGGAGGAUCCGGUUCUUUGAGAUUAAAAAUGGAAUCCACGUGAUUAGCUG